CCAAUCUUAGCUUCUUGUUGUUUAGCUUGAUGAUUAAUUGACUGCAAAAGCAACUCUCUUCUUUUUUUAGGAGAGGAGUUGCCUUUGCAGUCAAGUAAUCAUCAAGCUAAAUACCAUAACUGAGGACUGAGGUAGAAGG
rnacentral:pre_miRNA from 1 species